ACGUUUAACGUAACGGUACAGCGGGAAGAAAAAUCAUCUCGUGGAAUUUCAGAACGAGUUUCUAGGAGUUGGAUUUUUUAAAUCUCGGUAUUUUUUCUUUAUCAUGGCUAACUAAAUUUCGGACAACCCUGAAAGUGUAGCGUUCUGCAUUACCGCGUGAGUAAAUACCUCGAGUCAUCGUAGCCGCAGUGAUCACCGACAGAAGGCGAAGCCUACGAUUUGUUCUCGCAUUUAAAAACGGCCAGCACUGAAACAUAACUGGGCAAAGUACUGACACAUAUCGUGCCUUAAACUAAUGAGUAAGGAAAAUAUAGAGCUUUGGUAACGCUUAGCCAUGCUAUAAUCAGCGACCAUAUUUUUGAAGGGGUACAGGUCGUCCCAGGCUGCUUGGACUACUUUUCCGAGCGGCUAGGUGAAGCGAUCUGCCCG